GACGAACGCUGGCGGCGUGCUUAACACAUGCAAGUCGAACGAAGUGGCGAACGGGUGAGUAACGCGUAAUCAACCUGCCCUUCAGAGGGGGACAACAGUUGGAAACGACUGCUAAUACCGCAUACUGAAGGAGGGGAUUGCGUCGGAUUGGGUAGUUGGGGGGGUAACGGCCCACCAAGGCGAUGAACAGUAGCCGGUCUUGGGGGAUGAACGGGCACAUUGGGACUGGGAAACGGCCCAGACUCCUACGGGGGGCAGCAGUGGGGAAUCUUCCGACAUGGACGAAAGUCUGACGGAGCAACGCCGCGUGAUGGAUGACGGCCUUCGGGUUGUAAAGCUCUGUUAAUCGGGACGCGGUACCGGAAUAGAAAGCCACGGCUAACUACGUGCCAGCAGCCGCGGUAAUUC
rnacentral:rRNA from 1 species